CACGCGAUGCCGCCGCCGGCCGCUCGCCCCACCCUACCCGCCCGCUGCCGCCACCAGCCGGCCGCCCCUCCCUACCAGCGAGCUGCCGCCGCCGGCCGGCUGCCCCUUCCUCCCCGCGCGCUGCCGCCACCGGCCGCCCGCCCCUCCCUACCCGCGCACCACCGCCACCAUGUCUGUUGUCGUCCUGCGCCGCCCAGCCAGCCUCCUCCUUCCGCAUCGCCGGUGACCUCCUUCCUCCAGCUUGCCGCCACCCACCCUCGGGUCCGCGCGCCGCCGCCCACCCCCAGGUCCGCGCGCCGCCGGCCAUCCCCGAAUGCGCGCGUCGCUGGCCAUCCCCAGAUCCCGCGCCACCAGCCGUCGCCUCCCACCCACGCGCCACCGGCGGCUGCUGGGGGGAGCCGCGGGGUCGAGAUUGUUCCUCUCGGCAGUACACCUGCACGCUCCGUCGUCGGUCACGAGAAGAGCUGCGUGCAGGGCACCCUCGAUCCGUUCAACGAUCCGGUAGCCGGCGUCCUGGUUCCUUCCCGGCAUCCGUCGUACUGGUUCACGCACCAUCGCCGUCGGUCCUUUUCCGGUUUGAGAUAGUGAGCGCCACCUGGGAGGACUCUCCGUGGACAACGCUGCACCAUCGACGGCCUCCUCCACCAGUUGUGUUUGGAGCUGGAUGUGUUUGGAGCUGCUCCGCUAUAUUUCUUUAUUGGUUCAACAAGAUAAUUGCUCUAGAUUUCAUUUUCUAAUAUAAUGUUAAAAAGUCCACUAGAUGGAAAAUUCUGUGUUAGCUACAUCAGUACUGCUCAGCAGUACGACAAGUAGCAGUACUAAUCAGUACAACUUACACAAUAUUAGUACCGAUCAGUACUAUUCUUAAUUUUAAAAGUAACAUCCAUAUAGUACUGAUGAGUUGUACUGACAAGGAUGCCGUCUACAAUUCUGAACUUAUUGUUGAGUCGUACUAGUACUGAUGAAAUGGGAAGCAAGUGUCACAUGAAUCCUUAAUUGAAUUGGAAGCAAGGUUGUAAUGAGACCCUGGAAAAUCACUAUUUAUUUUAUCCUCGGUUCUUAGAAAAGCAUGGAAACAAUUCUCUGUGUGUUAGAGUAUCAGUUCAUGUGGAGAAGAACAUGUUUCCUAUAUGAAUUUUUUUUUAUUAUCAGUUCAAUGUGUAUUUUGUCAUUAGUUCAUACAGAACAGCCGUAAAAAUUAUUUUGAUGUGUGUUAGAGAGAGCUCGACUUUAUAUUAUAUGGUAGCUCACUCAUUGCACGAUUGCACAGCAGUUUGGCAAGAAAAUUCACAUCAGUUCAGGGGCGCCCGCAUCACGACCUCACCGUGCCACCACAAUCUCUCCUUGAUUCACCACCGGACGAGCCCCUCCUCACACUUUGGCAAGCUGAUGCAGCAAAAAGCAAGAUUCACAAGUUCAUCUUCUGGAUGCUUUUCAGUACAUCUACUUCCCGUUGUGCAAGUGUGGAGGGCCGGUAAGUUCUACUACCAGUCUACGCCAAGUUCAGGGGCAUUGCCACUGAUGGAAAGGACAAUGAACCAACGACGUCGGAUCAUAGGUCGAAGGAGGCCGGGUCAAGGCACCAUGACAGGAGCGCCCUGGCCGAUCACAGCCACCACCGCAGGCCGUUCAACGCCACCUCCGCAGGUCGUCUCCAGCCAGUCGUCGCUGCCCCCGGCGCCUCCACGCCCAGACCCCCUUCCUCUGUUCCUCAAAAAUCUGUCAAUUCGAAAGCCUCAAAAACCCGUCAGUUGGAAAUCCGUUCAACAUCCGUGGCUGAGAACGUCCACGAGCUCCUCUGUGAUCAGUUCCUUCGGUCGACAGUGGGUUGUGGCUCCUUGGUGAGCAAACCUUUUGUCCCUGUUGUCCAGUCAUUGCCUGGAGUAAGGAUGUUGUGCAUACACGUGCGUCAGUGCACUAUCGGCUAUAACAAAAGUUGAUGUUCGUGCAAAUGCCAAACUUGUCGCAGCUGGGUGCAACCCGCGAAGGGGCUAUGCAGCAGGUGCACGCAGCAAUAAGGGAGAAGCGCACAUGAAGCAGGUGAGGAGGUGUGUGUGCGAGAGAUGAUACUGAACUUGUAAUGCUGCUGUACUCGCGUGUGAAUGAUUAUUUUUUUCCUGCUCAUUCUUGUACUCUCUGGCAUGAAAAAACCUGACGACAGAGUACUGAAUAUUUGUGUAUUCUAUCAUCAGUUCAUAGAGAAGAAAUUCUUUUU
rnacentral:rRNA from 1 species